GACGAACGCUGGCGGCGUGCUUAACACAUGCGAGUCGAACGGAAAGGCCCUGCUUUUGUGGGGUGCUCGAGUGGCGAACGGGUGAGUAACACGUGAGUAACCUGCCCUUGACUUUGGGAUAACUUCAGGAAACUGGGGCUAAUACCGGAUAGGAGCUCCUGCUGCAUGGUGGGGGUUGGAAAGUGUCGGCGGUUGGGGAUGGACUCGCGGCUUAUCAGCUUGUUGGUGGGGUAGUGGCUUACCAAGGCUUUGACGGGUAGCCGGCCUGGGAGGGUGACCGGCCACCUUGGGACUGAGAUACGGCCCAGACUCCUACGGGAGGCAGCAGUGGGGAAUAUUGCACAGUGGGCGGAAGCCUGAUGCAGCAACGCCGCGUGCGGGAUGACGGCCUUCGGGUUGUAAACCGCUUUCGCCUGUGACGAAGCGUGAGUGACGGUAAUGGGUAAAGAAGCACCGGCUAACUACGUG
rnacentral:rRNA from 1 species